GAUGAAGAACGUAGUGAAAUGCGAUAAGUAAUGCGAAUUGCAGAAUUUCCGUGAGUCAUCGAAUCUUUGAACGCACAUUGCGCCCACUGGUAUUCCGGUGGGCAUGCCUGUUCGAGCGUCAUUAUCCUCCCUCAAACCUCGGGUUUGGUGUUGGACCCAAGUUGUGUGAACAACUGGUCUUAAAGACAAUGACGGCGUCCGUGGGACCCUCGGUGCAACGAGCUUUUAGGAGCACGCGCCGAGUUUCAAGGACCUUCCGGGCCGGUCUCCUUUACCAUUUUACAAGGUUGACCUCGGAUCAGGUAGGAAUACCCGCUGAACUUAAGCAUAUCAAUAAGCGGAGGA
rnacentral:misc_RNA from 1 species